rnacentral:lncRNA from 1 species
UCAAUUUUGAUCUAUAAAUCAAGUUAUGUAGUUAUAACCCGGAUAUCCCCUAUUACAUAUGUAAGUAGUGCCGAUUUCCAUUUUUUCAUUUUAGAAUCUACCUCUCCUUUCUCCAAUUGGACCAAUAUUUUACAAUCUACUAUUUUCGAUGUUAUAUACGAUAGAGUUAGGCCACUGUUUGCAAAUCUAUUACCUUUGAAAAGCCCUGCCCAGUCCAAUUUAACCUCCUCAGCUUGCUAUCUCACUGGGUUUACUACUUCAAGAACCGUUUCCACCACGUCACUAGCUACUGUAGAUGAUGAUGCCUUCACCUCUAUAGCUUGUGCAACUAGCUUCUCCGACUUUAAAAAAUUUAACGAUUUCACUGCGCGAGUUGUAUUUUCCAUACCCCCUCUAAGAUUUUGCUCAAUAAGGAAAAUUGGGCCUUCCAACAUUAAUACCGAUUGAGUAACCCCUUUCUCUAGUGUUACCGCUAUGACUCCUCCACUUAAAGAACUUCCGACAGUAUUAUUUAUGGGUUUGUUUUGCUGAUCUGAUUGUGGUGUCCCUCUCCCUCGUUGAACCAUGGCCAGCGAAGACGAUGUAGAUUAGCUUAACCUGAGCCUCAGAGCUCAAGAGAGAGAGAGAAAUUGCAUGGCAAAUUUUAGCUGCCUCUUUGAUGCAUUUUUUGUUGUUGUUAUUUUUUUUUUAAUCUUAAUAUUGUACUAAUUAAUUACUCCAUUUUUGCUUGGAUACAUAAUUUUGAUUACUAAGAUAUAUCCAUUUAUGUAACUAUUUGGUUAAGAUACAUAAUAAAUUAACUAGACCAAAGAGAGAUACAUUGUUAAAAUUAUGUAUCCAAAAGUGUGG